GGAACGAGGCGGCACCGGACGGAGCGACCGCGGAACCGGGGGGGACCCGGGGGGGGGCCCGGGGGGAACCGCGGCCAUGGCCGAGCCCGGGCACGGAGAAGCGCUGCCGACGCUGAAAACGGAGCCGCAGCCCCCCGAGAAGCGCCGGCGGACGAUCGAGGACUUCAAUAAGUUCUGCAGCUUCGUCCUGGCCUA